UGUCCCCUCAGAAGUCCCCAAUAUCCUCAGUGUCCCCAGUCCCAUUUUUCCCAAUUUUCCACCAAUACUCCCCAAAUAUUUUCCCAAUUUUUCCCUGAUUUUUCCCCAAUUUUUUCUCAUUGUCCCCAAUCCCCCCGAUGUCCCCACUGUCCCCAGUGUCCCUCAGAAGUCCCAGAUGUCUCCAGAGAUGUCCCCUCAGUGUCCCCGAUGUCCCCAGUGUCCCCUCAGUGUCUCCUCAGAAGUCCCAGAUAUCCCCUCAGUGUCCCCAAUGUCCCCCCAAAGUCCCCAGUGUCCGCAAUGUCCCCUCAGAAGUCCCACAUGUCCUCCGGUGUCUCAGAUGUCCCCAGUGUCCCCUCAAUGUCCCCAGAGAUGUCCCCAGGUGUGUAUCACGUGUCCCAGAUGUCCCCAAUGUCGCCUCAAUGUCCCCUCAGAAGUCCCAGAUGUCCCCCAUGUCCCCAGGUGUCUCAGAUGUCCCCCAUUGUCCCCAAGGGUCUCAGAUGUCCCUUCAGUGUCCCCAGUCUCCCCAAUGUCCCCUCAGAAGUCCCAGAUGUCCCCAGAGGUGUAUAUGAGAUGUCCCCAAUGUCCCCUCAGUGUCCCCAAUCUCCCCCCAAUAUCCCCUCAGUGUCCCCAAUGUCCCCACUGUCCCCUCAAUGUCCCCAGUGUCCCCCCACUGUCCUCAAUGUCCCUCAGAAGUCCCAGAUGUCCCCAGAGGUGUAUCUGAGAUGUCCCCAAUGUCCCCA
rnacentral:lncRNA from 1 species